GCAGGUAUAGCUCAGUGGUAAAGCACAUGCACAAGGUCCUGGGUUCAAUCCCAGUGCCUCUG
rnacentral:tRNA from 1 species